GCAGUAGCCGCGGGAAUACGAAGGGGGCUAGCGUUGCUCGGAAUGACUGGGCGUAAAGGGCUCGCAGGCGGUUUCUUAAGUCUGAUGUGAAAGCCCCCGGCUCAACCGGGGAGGGUCAUUGGAAACUGGGAAACUUGAGUGCAGAAGAGGAGAGUGGAAUUCCACGUGUAGCGGUGAAAUGCGUAGAGAUGUGGAGGAACACCAGUGGCGAAGGCGACUCUCUGGUCUGUAACUGACUCUGAGGAGCGAAAGCGUGGGGAGCGAACAGGAUUAGAUACCCCCGUAGUCCCUGUCUCUUAUAC
rnacentral:rRNA from 1 species